UAAGAAACAGAAGUCCCUUUUUGUUCACUGUCCGUAUAAGGUUAAGAACAAUGUAAAUCAGUAACUGCAGCUAUGCUUAAAGAAACGGUUUGCGUAAGUGAAACUAGUUAUAAAGAACAAAUAGUGUUGCAAUCAAUACUUAUAAGGUUGCGUAAGAACUUUUUGCAGCCCAAGUCAAGAAGAGGAUACUGAGGAAGACUCGUGAGGGCCUUUAUCAACGACCACCAGAAGGUAGAAAACGAACCCCUAUCAACUGCCGGAGCAUGCGCAAUAAGCACCAAGAGGAUGACUCAACAAGAAGAGCGGGUGCUUAAAAAGAGAACUGAAAACCCCGGUCGGCGCGGCAGUUGGUGGAGCGGUGACUCCCCUGUUGCCCAGCGCUGCAUUUUGCUUUUCUUUCUAAUAAAUUGCUAUUUUAAUUGGCUAAAAUGGCCCGUUGUGCUCAUUGAUAACAAUUUGGUGCCGUGACUCGGAUCGGUGAUAGGGGUGAUUUUCUACCCGUGAGGGGGGCGCCCCACCAUUUUGGUGGCCCUCGGGGUUAGGAGGUCGCCCUACUCCCGACCGACGAACCUAAAAUUAAGGAAAGGAAAGCAAAGGGAAUUGAGGGCCCAGGGAACCCCUUAAAAGCUUUGUGCACAAGGUCCGGACGAAGACGCAGGACGCGUGCAGCCGGGAGAUUGGGUCCUGGUCCGGAGCUGGAAAGAGAACCCGUUAACCCCGAAGUGGGAGAGACCGUAUUUAGUACUACUCACCACUGAUACGGCAGUACGAACAGCAGAGAAAGGAUGGACUCAUGCUAGUCGAAUAAAAGGACCCAUAAAUCCAUCAGAAUUCUCCAAAAACAAGGAUCCUCAGUGGAAUAUCAAAGGAACACCUGGAGAUUUGAAGUUUACUUUAACAAGGACUUUAUCCUAAAUGGACGCUGGGGACAUUUGGGUAGGGGAUAAUUGAGUGUUGCAGAAAGAACUGAUUGGAACUUCAGAACCACCUGGAUAUUGUGAAUAUUUAGAAAAACUUACCCAACAACCCUACUAUUGAGAAAUAAGAUUAAUAAAUAAAGAUAAGUUAUAUAAUGGGGAAGAAAAUGUUGAUCACAAUAAUAUAAGAAUAGUUUGUAGUUGGUUAGAUUGUAAUUGUUAUCCAUUUAUAUGUUUUUGUUGUAAAAUCUGUAAAGAGUUGUGGUGGGUUCAUUGCCGAAGAGGGCGGGCUCCUAGAAGUGUGUGUCAACCCUGUUGGGGGGAACAGCGCGAGCUGACUGCCCUGGCCCUAAGUCAGAAAGUAGCAGCUCGAGAGCUUAAAGUGGGAUCCCCA